UUAAAUUGAAGAGUUUGAUCAUGGCUCAGAUUGAACGCUGGCGGCAGGCCUAACACAUGCAAGUCGAACGGUAACAGGAAGAAGCUUGCUUCUUUGCUGACGAGUGGCGGACGGGUGAGUAAUGUCUGGGAAACUGCCUGAUGGAGGGGGAUAACUACUGGAAACGGUAGCUAAUACCGCAUAACGUCGCAAGACCAAAGAGGGGGACCUUCGGGCCUCUUGCCAUCGGAUGUGCCCAGAUGGGAUUAGCUAGUAGGUGGGGUAACGGCUCACCUAGGCGACGAUCCCUAGCUGGUCUGAGAGGAUGACCAGCCACACUGGAACUGAGACACGGUCCAGACUCCUACGGGAGGCAGCAGUGGGGAAUAUUGCACAAUGGGCGCAAGCCUGAUGCAGCCAUGCCGCGUGUAUGAAGAAGGCCUUCGGGUUGUAAAGUACUUUCAGCGGGGAGGAAGGGAGUAAAGCUAAUACCUUUGCUCAUUGACGUUACCCGCAGAAGAAGCACCGGCUAACUCCGUGCCAGCAGCCGCGGUAAUACGGAGGGUGCAAGCGUUAAUCGGAAUUACUGGGCGUAAAGCGCACGCAGGCGGUUUGUUAAGUCAGAUGUGAAAUCCCCGGGCUCAACCUGGGAACUGCAUCUGAUACUGGCAAGCUUGAGUCUCGUAGGAGGGGGUAGAAUUCAGGUGUAGCGGUGAAAUGCGUAGAGA
rnacentral:rRNA from 1 species